rnacentral:rRNA from 1 species
CGGCGGACGGGUGAGUAACGCGUGGGUAACCUGCCUCAUACAGGGGGAUAACAGUUGGAAACGGCUGCUAAUACCGCAUAAGCGCACAGUACCGCAUGGUACGGUGUGAAAAACUCCGGCGGUAUGAGAUGGACCCGCGUCUGAUUAGGUAGUUGGUGGGGUAACGGCCUACCAAGCCGACGAUCAGUAGCCGACCUGAGAGGGUGACCGGCCACAUUGGGACUGAGACACGGCCCAA